CUGGUGCCUUUUUUUGUGUUUUAUUUUAAUUUUUUGGGUAUUUAAAAGCAUGGUGUUUAUUUAAUGUUUUAUUUUAAUUUUUUGGGUAUUUAAAAGCAUGGUGUUUAUUUUAUGUUUUAUUUUAAUUUCUUUUGUGUUUUAUUUUAAUUGUUUUGGUAUUUAAAAGAAUGAAUUCUGUUUUAAUUUUGUUUAAUUUAAAGCAUGGUGUUUCAAACCCAAAAACAUAGGGGAUGUAAAUAGGAACCUAACCGCCACACUAAGAUUUUUUUUUCCUUACAUCAUCUCAAUUAUAUGUGAUUAUAAUUAAAUGUAAAAGAAAACAUAGCAACAAAAUGUUAGACCCUCUAAGGGCUUUUUAUAGGGUAUGUUAAAAUAAAGAGUUUCGAACCCAAAAACACAGUACCGAAUUUUUUUUCUUUUACACAGCAAAUAGAUAUCUAACCACAGCACUAAAUUUUUUCUUUAACUCAAUCUAUAAAUAAUCAUAAAAAUUAAAAUGUAAAAGAAAACAUAUCAACCAAAAUUCUAUACUUAUUAAGGGCCUCCUUUGGAGUCUCGCACAAAACCCCCAAAAUCUCAGGGCCAGCCCUGGGGUAAUGUUGAUACUAAAUUUAUAGGCAAAAAACGAAAUGACAUGGAAGUUGAAGAUUAAAUUAUUACUUUAGUAUUCAUUAACGUACUUAUUUUUUAUUAGUGACAUAUCAUUUAGUUUGUAAAUGUGGUUUACAAUUUCAAUCUACUUAGUAUUACUCGAGAAGGGUAAUUAUUUGCAUAUUAGACUAAAACCUCUAUACAGUCAUAACGUUUGGACUAAACUAAUUUUAGGGAUACUUGGAUCCAGUUCCAAAAGUUUGAGCUGCUGUUGGAUUUAGUCCUUUUUUUUUAACUUUAAUUAAAAUUUUAAUUUAUUCAUCUUUACUCAAAUAUUUAAUUUAAAUACUAAAAUAUGAAAAUUUAAUCACUUCCAUGAAAGAUGGCUACUAGACGAUUUAUAUGUCAUCAUAUAUCAUAUAGGUUGAUAAAACACAUUUAACCUGUGGUAGAUUUAUCUACGAAAGUAAAUAAAAUUUAAUCUAUCUAUCACUCUUUAAAAUAAUUCAAAGAAAUUUCAUCUUCGAUACAUUUAUAAAUCCAUACUAGCAUAUAUGCUAACAUAUAUAUAUAUAUAGUACCUGCAACAUAGAUUAGUUAACCUAAUUAAACUUGAUGGAGGUAGAAAAAAAAAUUGAGAUACGAAUUAGGAGUAGGAAAAAUGAGAAACAAUAUUUAAUUCUUAUAUUUAAUCAUCAAAUUGAGUAAAAUAUAGGGAGUUUUAACAAAACAUUUCUGGUACUGUUUACUUUUAACGAAAAACCACAUUUUUACCUUUAACUAGCACUAUUCACUAUACCUUUAAAAAGAACUUUUCGUUCAAAGAGAAGUUUUUUUGGAUUUUUUGUUAGUUUUUCUUAAAAUAUAAACUUAUGGUAAGGGAUGAUAUUUAUCACAGUUUGACAAAAAGAUAAUGAAAAAAAAAUGAUGUGGAUAAUCAUUUAAUGGACCUAACCUAACAAAGUGGAUUAAACCCAAUAACGACUCACAAAAUUGGACUUAUAUCAAGUUUACUCUUAUUAUUAAAAAAAAAGUUAUUACUUAAUAGAAGUGUAUCUAACAAGAUUAUUUUUUUACAAUGAUCCUUAAUAAAAAUUGUAUGGACACAAAACACUACAUUAAUAGUGGAGCAUGUCAAUUUUUAAGAUGACAUUAGGAAAAUAGACAUCUUAUCUCUAAUGGCUGGCUAAUGCAUGUAUGUUUGUAGUGCUUUCCUUAAUGUUAAAAGUCACAUGCCAAUAAAUUAUAAACAUGCCGAAGAAGCAAGAAACAUUUUGGUUUUAACAAUAAGGACUCUAUGUUGAUGAGUUAUUACAUACUCGCAAACUCAAAUACUUCACAUCAACUCCAAAAAAAUGUAAGAAAAUUAUAGUUUAUUAAAAUGUUGAGUAUAUUGUUAUAUAUAACUAGCCCAAGUUAUUCAUCUAUAGCACUCCAAUUUUAUUUAAAUAUAAAUAAAAAUGCAUGUGUUGUAAUUAAGUAGAAGGCACAUAAUAUGUUUGGCCAAUUUCCCCUUUGCUGUUAUUUUUCCAUAGAUUCCAUACAAAUUAACAUUAAUUUUUAUCACGUACACACAACGUGACUGCAAGGUUUUAAAA
rnacentral:lncRNA from 1 species